UACGAAGGGGGCUAGCGUUGUUCGGAAUUACUGGGCGUAAAGCGCACGUAGGCGGAUAUUUAAGUCGGGGGUGAAAUCCCGGGGCUCAACCCCGGAACUGCCUUGAUACUGGAGAUUGUGAGUUCGGGAGAGGUGAGUGGAAUGCGAGUGUAGAGGUGAAAUUCGUAGAUAUUCGCAGAACACCAGUGGCGAAGGCGGCUCACUGGCCGAUACUGACGCUGAGGUGACGACGGGAGGCAAACAGGGAUUAGAAUCAUCCAUGA
rnacentral:rRNA from 1 species